CCUACGGGGGGCUGCAGUGGGGAAUAUUGCACAAUGGGGGAAACCCUGAUGCAGCGACGCCGCGUGAGUGAAGAAGUAUUUCGGUAUGUAAAGCUCUAUCAGCAGGGAAGAAAUAAAGUCCUUCGGACUUUGGACGGUACCUGACUAAGAAGCCCCGGCUAACUACGUGCCAGCAGCCGCGGUAAUACGUAGGGGGCAAGCGUUAUCCGGAUUUACUGGGUUUAAAGGGAGCGUAGACGGCAGCGCAAGUCUGGAGUGAAAUCCCAUGGCUUAACCAUGGAACUGCUUUGGAAACUGUGCAGCUGGAGUGCAGGAGAGGUAAGCGGAAUUCCUAGUGUAGCGGUGAAAUGCGUAGAUAUUAGGAGGAACACCAGUGGCGAAGGCGGCUUACUGGACUGUAACUGACGUUGAGGCUCGAAAGCGUGGGGAGCAAACAGGAUUAGAUACCCUAGUAGUC
rnacentral:rRNA from 1 species